rnacentral:rRNA from 1 species
AAUGAACGCUGGCGGCAUGCCUAACACAUGCAAGUCGAACGAGACCUUCGGGUCUAGUGGCGCACGGGUGCGUAACGCGUGGGAAUCUGCCCUUGGGUUCGGAAUAACAGUUAGAAAUGACUGCUAAUACCGAAUGAUGUCGUAAGACCAAAGAUUUAUCGCCCAGGGAUGAGCCCGCGUAAGAUUAGGUAGUUGGUGUGGUAAAGGCGCACCAAGCCGACGAUCUUUAGCUGGCUGAGAGGAUGAUCAGCCACACUGGGACUGAGACACGGCCCAGACUCCUACGGGAGGCAGCAGGUGGGGAAUAUUGGACAAUGGGCGAAAGCCUGAUCCAGCAAUGCCGCGUGAGUGAUGAAGGCCUUAGGGUUGUAAAGCUCUUUUACCCGGGAUGAUAAUGACAGUACCGGAGAAUAAGCUCC